rnacentral:rRNA from 1 species
CAGUAGCCGCGGGAACACAGAGGGUGCGAGCGUUAAUCGGAUUUACUGGGCGUAAAGCGUGCGUAGGCGGCUUCUUAAGUCGGAUGUGAAAUCCCUGAGCUUAACUUAGGAAUUGCAUUCGAUACUGGGAAGCUAGAGUAUGGGAGAGGAUGGUAGAAUUCCAGGUGUAGCGGUGAAAUGCGUAGAGAUCUGGAGGAAUACCGAUGGCGAAGGCAGCCAUCUGGCCUAAUACUGACGCUGAGGUACGAAAGCAUGGGGAGCAAACAGGAUUAGAGACCCGCGUAGUCCCUGUCUCUUAUAA